rnacentral:misc_RNA from 1 species
GUGAGUCAUCGAAUCUUUGAACGCACAUUGCGCCCCUCGGUAUUCCGGGGGGCAUGCCUGUUCGAGCGUCAUUUACACCUUCAAGCUCUGCUUGGUGAUGGGCGCCUGUCCCCGCUCUGCGUGGACUCGCCUUAAAGCGAUUGGCGGCUGGUACGAUGGCCUGGAGUGCAGCAGAAUUGCGCUCUUUGUCCUCUGUCUGGCUCCCAGAAGCACUAUUUGACCUUUUUGACCUCGAAUCAGGUAGGGAUACCCGCUGAACUUAAGCAUAUCAAUAAGCGGAGGA